UGCAAGAAGAUAAGUGGGAGUCCCACUAAACUUCUUGGUUAUGUAUGUGGGUGACAUACAGCACAUUGGGAAGGUAGUCCCGAUAUUACACUCGAUCAAUAAUAUGCUUAUCACAAAAGUUUUCAUGGAAAAGACUUGGGUUAAGCAUCCAAUAUUUUUUGGCAUCUAUAGGGAUAGAUGUAAGUGGAUGCUGGGCUUGUCCCAAUCUAAGUACAUCAAAUUUAUGUUGAAGGGGUUCAACAUGAAUGGGUGUAAAAGAGUUUACUUAUCUAUAUAUUCAAUGUACCAAGCC
rnacentral:lncRNA from 1 species